rnacentral:rRNA from 1 species
GAUGAACGCUGGCGGCGUGCCUAAUACAUGCAAGUCGAGCGAACAGAUGAGGAGCUUGCUCCUCUGACGUUAGCGGCGGACGGGUGAGUAACACGUGGAUAACCUACCUAUAAGACUGGGAUAACUUCGGGAAACCGGAGCUAAUACCGGAUAAUAUAUUGAACCGCAUGGUUCAAUAGUGAAAGACGGUUUUGCUGUCACUUAUAGAUGGAUCCGCGCCGCAUUAGCUAGUUGGUAAGGUAACGGCUUACCAAGGCAACGAUGCGUAGCCGACCCGAGAGGGUGAUCGGCCGCACUGGAACUGAGACACGGUCCAGACUCCUACGGGAGGCAGCAGUAGGGAAUCUUCCGCAAUGGGCGAAAGCCUGACGGAGCAACGCCGCGUGAGUGAUGAAGGUCUUCGGAUCGUAAAACUCUGUUAUUAGGGAAGAACAAAUGUGUAAGUAACUAUGCACGUCUUGACGGUACCUAAUCAGAAAGCCACGGCUAACUACGUG